UACGUAGGGUGCAAGCGUUAAUCGGAAUUACUGGGCGUAAAGCGUGCGCAGGCGGUUGUGUAAGUCUGUCGUGAAAUCCCCGGGCUCAACCUGGGAAUUGCGAUGGAGACUGCACGGCUAGAGUGUGGCAGAGGGGGGUAGAAUUCCACGUGUAGCAGUGAAAUGCGUAGAUAUGUGGAGGAACACCGAUGGCGAAGGCAGCCCCCUGGGAUAACACUGACGCUCAUGCACGAAAGCGUGGGGAGCAAACAGG
rnacentral:rRNA from 1 species